rnacentral:rRNA from 1 species
AUCAGUGGCGAACGGGUGAGUAACACGUGAGCAACCUGCCCCUGACUCUGGGAUAAGCGCUGGAAACGGCGUCUAAUACUGGAUACGAACCACGAAGGCAUCUUCAGUGGUUGGAAAGAUUUAUUGGUUGGGGAUGGGCUCGCGGCCUAUCAGCUUGUUGGUGAGGUAAUGGCUCACCAAGGCGUCGACGGGUAGCCGGCCUGAGAGGGUGACCGGCCACACUGGGACUGAGACACGGCCCAGACUCCUACGGGAGGCAGCAGUGGGGAAUAUUGCACAAUGGGCGCAAGCCUGAUGCAGCAACGCCGCGUGAGGGAUGACGGCCUUCGGGUUGUAAACCUCUUUUAGCAGGGAAGAAGCGAGAGUGACGGUACCUGCAGAAAAAGCACCGGCUAACUACGUGCCAGCAGCCGCGGUAAUACGUAGGGUGCAAGCGUUAUCCGGAAUUAUUGGGCGUAAAGAGCUCGUAGGCGGUUUGUCGCGUCUGCUGUGAAAUCUGGGGGCUCAACCCCCAGCCUGCAGUGGGUACGGGCAGACUAGAGUGCGGUAGGGGAGAUUGGAAUUCCUGGUGUAGCGGUGGAAUGCGCAGAUAUCAGGAGGAACACCGAUGGCGAAGGCAGAUCUCUGGGCCGUAACUGACG